UUUAAUUUAAGGUCUAACCUGCCCACUGAAUUCAUUUUAAAUGGCCGCAGUAAUUUAACUGUGCAAAGGUAGCAUAAUCAUUAGUUUUUUAAUUAAAAGCUUGUAUGAAGGGUUGGACGAGGUAAAAUCUGUCUCUAACUAAUUUAAUUUAGAAUUUAACUUUUAAGUCAAAAGGCUUAGAUUUAAUUAAAAGACGAGAAGACCCUAUAGAUCUUUAUAUUUUAUUUAUUAAAUUUAAUUAAGAAUUUUUAAAAUUUUAUUAAUAUAUUUAUUUUAUUGGGGUAAUAUAAAGAUUAUAAAAAUUCUUUUUUUUUAUUAACAUUGAUUUAUGUAUAUAUGAUCUAGUUUUAUUGAUUAUAAGAUUAAGUUACCUUAGGGAUAACAGCGUAAUUUUUUUAGAGAGUUCUUAUCGAUAAAAAAGUUUGCGACCUCGAUGUUGGAUUAAAAAUUAUUUUAGGUGCAGAAGCUUAAAAAUUUGGUCUGUUCGACCAUUAAAUUUUUACAUGAUCUGAGUUCAGACCGGUGUAAGCCAGGUCGGUUUCUAUCUUUAGUUAAUUAUAAUAUUUCAGUACGAAAGGACCAAUUAUUUAAUAUAUUUAUAUUUAUAUUUUUGAUUAUUAAUA
rnacentral:rRNA from 1 species